rnacentral:tRNA from 1 species
UGGGGUAUAGCCAAACGGUAAGGCAGCGGACUCUGACUCCGCCAUGUGUUGGUUCGAAUCCAGCUACCCCAGCCA